GUUGAUCAUGGCUCAGGAUGAACGCUAGCUACAGGCUUAACACAUGCAAGUCGAGGGGCAGCAUGGGAGUUGCUUGCAAUUCCUGAUGGCGACCGGCGCACGGGUGAGUAACGCGUAUCCAACCUUCCCCUUAGUAGGGCAUAGCCCGGUGAAAAUCGGAUUAAUACCCUAUGUUCUCACAGCAGACAUCUAACGUGAAGCAAAGGUUCACCGCUAAGGGAUGGGGAUGCGUCUGAUUAGGUAGUAGGCGGGGUAACGGCCCACCUAGCCUUCGAUCAGUAGGGGUUCUGAGAGGAAGGUCCCCCACAUUGGAACUGAGACACGGUCCAAACUCCUACGGGAGGCAGCAGUGAGGAAUAUUGGUCAAUGGGCGAGAGCCUGAACCAGCCAAGUAGCGUGCAAGGAUGACGGCCCUAUGGGUUGUAAACUGCUUUUAUAUGGGGAUAAAGUUCACCACGUGUGGUGUUUUGCAGGUACCAUAUGAAUAAGGACCGGCUAAUUCCGUGCCAGCAGCAGC
rnacentral:rRNA from 1 species